GACGAACGCUGGCGGCGUGCCUAAUACAUGCAAGUUGAGCGCUGAAGGUUGGUACUUGUACCAACUGGAUGAGCAGCGAACGGGUGAGUAACGCGUGGGGAAUCUGCCUUUGAGCGGGGGACAACAUUUGGAAACGAAUGCUAAUACCGCAUAAAAACUUUAAACACAAGUUUUAAGUUUGAAAGAUGCAAUUGCAUCACUCAAAGAUGAUCCCGCGUUGUAUUAGCUAGUUGGUGAGGUAAAGGCUCACCAAGGCGAUGAUACAUAGCCGACCUGGGAGGGUGAUCGGCCACAUUGGGACUGAGACACGGCCCAAACUCCUACGGGAGGCAGCAGUAGGGAAUCUUCGGCAAUGGACGAAAGUCUGACCGAGCAACGCCGCGUGAGUGAAGAAGGUUUUCGGAUCGUAAAGCUCUGUUGGUAGAGAAGAACGUUGGUGAGAGUGGAAAGCUCAUCAAGUGACGGUAACUACCCAGAAAGGGACGGCUAACUACGUGCCAGCCGCCGCGGUAA
rnacentral:rRNA from 1 species